rnacentral:rRNA from 1 species
GACGAACGCUGGCGGCAUGCUUUACACAUGCAAGUCGAACGGUAACAGGGAGCUUGCUCCGCUGACGAGUGGCGAACGGGUGAGUAAUGCAUCGGAACGUACCCAGUCGUGGGGGAUAACGUAGCGAAAGUUACGCUAAUACCGCAUACGUCCUGAGGGAGAAAGCGGGGGACCGUAAGGCCUCGCGCGAUUGGAGCGGCCGAUAUCAGAUUAGCUAGUUGGUGGGGUAAAGGCCUACCAAGGCAACGAUCUGUAGUUGGUCUGAGAGGACGACCAGCCACACUGGGACUGAGACACGGCCCAGACUCCUACGGGAGGCAGCAGUGGGGAAUUUUGGACAAUGGGCGCAAGCCUGAUCCAGCAAUGCCGCGUGCAGGAAGAAGGCC